UGGGGAAUUUUGGACAAUGGGCGCAAGCCUGAUCCAGCCAUGCCGCGUGCGGGAAGAAGGCCUUCGGGUUGUAAACCGCUUUUGUCAGGGAAGAAAUCUUCUGAGUUAAUACCUCGGGAGGAUGACGGUACCUGAAGAAUAAGCACCGGCUAACUACGUGCCAGCAGCCGCGGUAAUACGUAGGGUGCAAGCGUUAAUCGGAAUUACUGGGCGUAAAGCGUGCGCAGGCGGUUUUGUAAGACAGAGGUGAAAUCCCCGGGCUCAACCUGGGAACUGCCUUUGUGACUGCAAGGCUUGAGUGCGGCAGAGGGGGAUGGAAUUCCGCGUGUAGCAGUGAAAUGCGUAGAUAUGCGGAGGGACACCGAUGGCGAAGGCAAUCCCCUGGGCCUGCACUGACGCUCAUGCACGAAAGCGUGGGAGCAAACAGGAUUAGAUACCCUGGUAGUCCACGCCCUAAACGAUGUCAACUAGUUGUUGGGGAUUCAUUUCCUUAGUAACGUAGCUAACGCGUGAAGUUGACCGCCUGGGGAGUACGGUCGCAAGAUUAAAAGCUCAAAGGAAUUGACGGGGUCAUAGCUG
rnacentral:rRNA from 1 species